AUACAAAAUUAUUUAAUUCUUAAUGGGGAUGUAAAUAUCACGCGUUUAACGUUUACGAACGAAUUAUUAAAAAAGAUUUUAAAGUGAAUGGGGGAAAAGAGGGAUUUGUGUGUAGCACAGUAAUGUGAACAGAUGCAGUCUACGCCAAUGAAAGCACUGCAUGUGACAAGUAGAUGAAUAACAUCAUUCCAGUCACAAAUACAAACUCGGUCAGAGAGAUAGAAAGAGAGGCAUAUAACACACGCGCAUCCUUGUUUGCGUUGAUACAUGGGCGCCUUUCACGAGAGAAAAUACAUACGCAUACACACACACACACAUACACACACCACAUAUACACAUAUAUACAGGUACGAACGAAACUCUCUUCUAACAAACAAAGUACAUCCUGUUUGCCGCUGAUACAUAAUGCUAUUUUGUGUAUGAAGGAAGUACACGAUAAAACCAUGAAAAAAAUAAAUCUAUUGAAACAUUGUAAAUACCUUGUAUGAGAAAUACGUAUGUUAGGACAACGAGGAACGUCUGGUUAACGGUAAAGUGCACUUUGUGAUUUAAAACUAGCGGUUGAGAGUACGUCAAAACCGCCAUGUUCAUGUAAAAAACAGUCGAAUAGACCUUCCUGCGCAAGCUCUGUGUUCGAACUGUCGCGAGUAUACGAGCAACGAGUUCUGACUUGUGCUUCGGUUUCUCUCGGCCUUGUUCGGCCGUGUUCGUACGUGUCGGCUCACUUAAGAGCGAGGUAACGUGCCUCGGCCAAUCACGAUUAACGCGUGGCGUGAAUGCCGACCAAUCGUGACACGAGUUUACUACAAGUAUUGAGAAUUUGGCGGGAGGGAGACGAUGUGAAUGAACGUCAAGCACGUGCGAAUAAACGAUAGUAAUGCACUUUUCCGGAACGCGAUCGUCCACUGAAGAAGGUGGUGGACUUUCAAGAACCUUAUAUGACGUCUCUCUAUCGAAUUUUUCUAUGAUGUCUCAUAAAAUGAAGAACAAUUCAUCACGAUAUAAUAAUGAAGAUGAUUAAGCCGAAGAAAAAAAAAGAAUUAAAUAAAAUUAUACAAAGGACAACUUUCUCAUAUAAAUUGACUGUUAUAUGUCAUAAAGAGUUCCUUUACUUUGAUGAUGAAAAGGUCGAAACUAUUUAUGGGUUUAUGCGCAUUAAAUUUGAUUACCGGAUGUCCUCCACCUUCAACCAAGUAAGUAAGUACCUAUUACUUGGGAGGCUCGCCCG